GGUUCUUUCUGGUUGACUAACACAAUACUAAAUAAGUUAGAAACUUAGAAGCAAAGCAAGGCAAGUAGGCAACGGAGGCGGGUGAUCUGUAAUUUUUUUCCAUUGGUGAAUCUUCUUGUAUAUUCAGCAAUCAAGCUUCUUUCUUUACACGCUCGUUUUCCUGUAUUCUUCUCCUUCUUCUUCUUUUCUUCUCUUGCUCAUUUUAUGGCCGCUUCCUAUUCAACUCGCUGCAUUACUCUACAAAACCUCGCAGAAUUAUCUCCUUGCCCGUUCUCUCGCCGCCACCGCUUCAUUCUCGAGGAUAGUAAAGGAACUGUUGAAUUACGUCCUCAAUCUAGGCCUCCCAAACCCUUUGCUUUGGUCUAUAACCAGGGGGGGAAGGGAAAUUCGGUGAAGCGCAAUGUGUUUAAUGAGUCGGAGACCGGUGCUACUGUUGAGGAAGAGACUUAUAAUUCCGUC
rnacentral:misc_RNA from 1 species